CAAGGUUUCCGUAGGUGAACCUGCGGAAGGGUCAUUG
rnacentral:rRNA from 1 species